UACGUAGGGUGCAAGCGUUGUCCGGAAUUAUUGGGCGUAAAGAGCUCGUAGGCGGUCUGUCGCGUCUGCUGUGAAACUCAGGGCUUAACCCUGAGCUUGCAGUGGGUACGGGCAGACUAGAGUGCGGUAGGGGAGACUGGAAUUCCCUGGUGUAGCGGUGAAAUGCGCAGAUAUCAGGAGGAACACCGGUGGCGAAGGCGGGUCUCUGGGCCGUAACUGACGCUGAGGAGCGAAAGCAUGGGGAGCGAACAGG
rnacentral:rRNA from 1 species